UUUUAUUUGAGAGUUUGAUCCUGGCUCAGGAUGAACGCUGGCGGCGUGCCUAACACAUGCAAGUUGAGCGAUUUACUUCGGUAAAGAGCGGCGGACGGGUGAGUAACGCGUGGGUAACCUACCCUGUACACACGGAUAACAUACCGAAAGGUAUGCUAAUACGGGAUAAUAUAUUUGAGAGGCAUCUCUCGAAUAUCAAAGGUGAGCCAGUACAGGAUGGACCCGCGUCUGAUUAGCUAGUUGGUAAGGUAACGGCUUACCAAGGCGACGAUCAGUAGCCGACCUGAGAGGGUGAUCGGCCACAUUGGAACUGAGACACGGUCCAAACUCCUACGGGAGG
rnacentral:rRNA from 1 species